rnacentral:rRNA from 1 species
AUGGAUCCACUUAAAGUGUUCUACUUGGAUCAUCUUCAAUCCUUAUGCGCUCGUGCUGAAACCCUAACUAGCCUAGUUGAUGGAAAAUCUUUAGAUGAGCAUGCUCAUUUUGUGCAUCAUCGUUUGUCUGAAAAGGGGAAGAUCUUAUGGUAUCAACUAAAUAGUUUGCUAUGUUAUGCUUGGAAUCUUUUUGAAAUUUAUGAUUUUACUUGUUGCUCUAAGAACCCUAAAAAACACCUUCCCUACCUAUGUGAGUUUAAUAAUAAUGAAAUCUUAUCUUCUUAUGGAAAAGGUGUUUAUAGUUACUAUGAUAUCGAACAAAUUGAAGAAUUUGUCAUUUUUAAGGGUGCUCAUGAAGUUGCUUCUUUGAUUGAAAAGUAUGAUAUUACUCUCUAUAAAUCUGAAAAUUCCGACAUACUUAAAUAUUGCUAUGAAAACUAUGCUCAUAAUGCCUAUGUUAAGGAAUUUAUUGAGAGAAUGACUGUUGCUUUGAAAGAAAAUAAUGAUAUGCACGAAUCUAUAGAUAAUUAUGAUUCCGAUGAUUUGAUUGAAAUAUCCCUUGAUGAACAUGAUGCUUGCUAUUCUUAUGGCCACGAUGCCAAUAUUCAUGGAGAUGAAUUUGCUAUAAUUCCUUAUGUUAAACAUGAGAUUAUUGCUAUUGCACCCAUACUUGAUAGUUCCUUGAAUCAAAAGCAUGAUUGCAAUGAUUUUACUAUAAAUUCUAUUGAUGUCAAUUAUGCUAAUCAUAUGCAAAACCCUAAGCUUGGGGAUGCUAGUUUUGCUAUGUCUACUACUUGUUGCAAUGAUCAUGAUUGGGGUGAUUCUUCUUAUGAUCUUGAAAAUUUAUUUAAGCCCCAUGAAUAUGAGAUUGAUAAUAGUGUUUGCAAUAAUAUUGAGAGUGGGUUUGGAAGAGUGUCAACUUUAGAUCCCACAUAUUUGGAUAAUGUUCAAUCUUAUGAAGUUUUUGAUAAAAGUGGGUUUGAAGAGGUCAUGACUUUAGUUAAUGAUAGUCCCACUAUUGUGGAAGAGUCUCAACUUUGCAUGCAUGUGGAUCAUGUAGAGAAAAUUUUAUGUGAGAGCUAUAUUGUUGAAUUUGAAUAUGAUCCCACAUGUAAUUAUUAUGAGAGAGGAAAAUAUGGUUGUAGAAAUUUUCAUGUUACUAAAUUACCUCUCGUUAUGUUGAGAUUGUUAUUGUUUCUCACUUCUUUCUUGCAUAUGCUAGUUUUUGCUUGCCUUGAUAAUUUAUUUUCCUAUAAGAUGCCUAUGCAUAGAAAGUAUGUUAGACUUAGAUGUGUUUUUUAUAUGCUAUAUGAUUCUCUCUUUGUGAUUCAAUUCUUGUCUUUCGUGUGA